rnacentral:lncRNA from 1 species
AAAUGGCACUGCUAAGCCAUGAUGGAAAAAUCAAAAUGUCUAAAAAAACUUACAAUAUUGUUUUAUAUGUGAAAGUUGACUUACAAUAUAUAAGUACACUGUGCAAUUAUGCAAAAGUAUGCUUGAAAUGCUGUCCUCUGUUGCAGACAAUGGAGGAUAGCAUAUCAAACAUACUGUUGUGCAACCACAACAUGCCAUGUGUAUCAUAAAUUUUGAAAUAUUUUUAUUUUUCCACUAUGAUAACAGCACCAUUUGCUGCCUUGGCGGAAAUAUUUGGAAUUAACUUUUUAUGUCUAUGUAACAUUUCCACACUGGCAAUCAGCC